rnacentral:lncRNA from 1 species
GUCCAAAAGGAAGGCAAGUGCAAAAUAAUGAAAAACGUUUAGGUCACAAAUGCAGGACAAGCUAAUAAAGUUUAACUAAAGUGGCCACAUGCAUAUCCAGAAACAGUUUGGAGCAAAACUCAAUGUCUAGCAUUAAAAAUCUAACUAAAGUGACCAUAGCAAUAUUAAUAAAAACAGUUGGAGCAAACUGAAUGUCAAUUAAUAAAGUUUAAUUAAAGUGACCAUUGCAAUAUCCAGAAAACCAGUUUGGAUUAAAACUGAAUGUCUAGCAUGAGGUGUCUAACUAAAGGGAUCAUAGCAAUAUUAAUAAAAACAGUUUGGAGCAAAACUGAAUGUUAAGCAAUAAAUUAUUAACUAAUGACAAUUUGCAAUAUCAGUAAAACAGUUUGGAGCAAAAUACUCUGACCUGUGCCUUGGCUGGUAAGCAGCAAAGAAAGAGGGAGUCAUGUGUCUGUCCUGGCUUUAUAUAUGGAUGUGAUGCCUGUUACUGAUUGGUUUAAAGUUUAUUGAUUGACUGGUGCUGCUGGAGGCAUAAAGUAAAGAAAGUUAUGCAAAAUAUGAAGCCUCCUGUCAUGUGAUAAAAUUCGGGAUAACAACACACGAAAAGGACUUGGGAAUUGUUAGAGACAACAAACUAUGCAACAAUGUGCAAUGUCAAUCAGCAGUGGCUAAGGCCAGUAAUGUAUUGUCAUGCAUGAAAAAAAUCAUUCAUUCUUGGCAUUAGAAUAUCAUUUUGCCUCUUUAUAAAUCACUGGCAAGACCACAUAUUGAAUAUGCUGUGCAAAUUUGGGCACCUGUUCUAAAGAAGGAUAUUAUGGCACUAGAGAAAGUGCAGAGGCGGGCUACAAAAUUAAUAAAAGGAAUGGAACAUAUCAGCUAUGAAGAAAGGUUAACAGAUUUAAACCUCUUUAGUUUAGAAAAACGUCGCCUGAGAGGGGAUAUGAUCACAUUAUAAAAAUAUAUAAUCGGGGCCAAUACAAACCAUUGUGUGAAAAUCUAUUCACAAACCAGACUUUACAUAGGACACAAGGUCAUACGUUUAGACUGAAGAAAGAAGAUUUUGUCUAAGGCAAAGAAAAGUUUUUUUUUUACUGUAAGAACAAUAAGGAUGUGGAAUUCUCUCCCUGAAGAAGUGGUUUUAUCAGAGUCCAUACAGAUGUUCAAACAGCUACUAGAUGCAUACUUGCAAAAACAGAAUAUUCAAGGAUAUAAUCUUUCAAUGUAGGGUAAUAGCUUCUUGAUCCAAGGGUUAAUCUGACUGCCAUUCUGGAGUCAAGAAGGAAUUUUUUGAUUCAAACUGUUUUUUUUUUUGCCUUCUUUUGGAUAUACAGCAAAAAACAGAUAUAAGGAAGGCUGAACUUGAUGAACACAAGUCUAUUUUCAGCUAUGUAACUAUGUACAAAAACAACCCAUAACAUAUAUCAAAUGCCAACUCAUGCUUUGGCUUGACAUUCACUCUGUCCAUCCCUUUCAGGCUAUUUUCACCGUGUCCAUCCCUUACAGGCUAUUUUCACCCUGUCCAUCCCUUUCAGGUUAUAUCACCAUCUUCAUCCAUGUCUUCCAGCCUGUUUCUCUCUCUACCACUAAUCCAGUCUGUUAUCCUUUCUCUCAGUCCCCUUAGCAGUUUGUUGUACAGCCUGUUGUUUCUGCUCUUUCCCUAAUCCUCCAGUGGUCUGUCCCAGGCUUUCUCUGUGUUUCAUUUGAUUUAUUUUGGCCUAUGUCCCGGUCUCUGUAGAUCUGCAGUUUCCUACUUUAUCUCUUUCUCAAACUUUGUCUUUUUUUUUUUUUUUGGCCAUUGAACGCUGUUUUCUUUCUGACUCCUCACCUUUUUUGCCAGUUUUUCCUUAUCUGUCCAACCGUGUCUUCCCUAAUGUCAUUCUGUCCAUUUCAGUCUUUUCUCAUCCCCCUCUUAUAAUUGCUGGUGCUUUUGUGUGGACUAGAAUAGUAGCUAUUGUACUGCUGAGGAUCAUUACGUCUUAUUCAAUGGAGGUCACAGAAGAU